rnacentral:pre_miRNA from 1 species
AAAGUACUCCCUCCGUCCCAAAAUUCUUGUCUUAGAUUUGUCUAGAUACGGAUGUAUCAAGUCACAUUUUAGUAUUAGAUACAUCUGUAUCUAGACAAAUCUAAGACAAGAAAUUUAGGACGGAGGGAGUAGUUG